rnacentral:lncRNA from 1 species
AAAUAGGGAAUCCUUUCCCCAUUGCUUGUUUUAGCAUUCUCCCAUCUAUGUCUUAUCCUCAUUGACUCAUGAUAUCUUUGGGAACCAUUUAGCAGUUGAACCUCAAGUGACUGGACGCAGAACAGGUGAGCUGCCUAAGUUAGGAAACCAUCCCUGAAUGCUCAUCAUAGGUUAAGAGGAGAAAGUACAGGAGAGGUUGUUAGACUGCAGAAGGCAGGACUUUGUUGAUGAACACCUACUUGUAAGUGCAUGAGAUGGGUGCUUUCCUAUGUGCAGAGAGAUUUGCAGUGUCUAUAUGAAUGAUAGACAUACCAGUCCCUGACCCAUAUGAAACAUAAAGAAAAUAAUAAAUUCUACCACAAAUCAACCAAUAUUAAUUCAUUUUAACACAAAUCAACCAGUACCAAAAUAGAGCCAAGGAGUUGGAGGGGAUGAAGCAAAGAAGACAAAGUGCAAUCAAAUGCAUGCCCUAAUUCCUUCUUAUUACAUCAUUUUGACUAACUCUUUCUAACACUUUUGCAUUCACAUGAACACUCAUUGAACACCUACUUUGAGUUUGGCACCAUGACAAGAAAACAAACAAGUUAUGGACUUAGAAGAUAUAGACUUAUGGUGGAGACAGAGACAUGGAAUAAUAACCCAAAGUAGCUCAUCUUCCUAGAGGCC